UACAACGCACUACCUGUUCAUAGUAGUCGUUGCUGUCAACAGCACACUGCUCACCAUCAACGCAGGGGACUACAUCUUCUACACAGACUGGGCGUGGACGUCCUUCGUUGUGUUCUCGGUGUCGGAGACGUCGACGAUAGAUGAAGCAGCGGUAUACUACAUGCCAUUCUCCGGGGUUAUAGGGACGGCGACAGCUUUAGCCACUAUCAUGAGCAUCUACACAUGCGUGGCAGAUACGGCAAGGCUGGCAUUAGGUUACCGGUCUGCGUACCGUCGGCGACAUAACGCACAAGGCACGCUGCCAUACUUGUUGUCGUUACGCUGGUUGGCCUAUACUUCCCGCUGUUCAACAUGGUCAACCUGUUGCUUGUAAGGCACCCCCUCGAGGUGGCCUUCAAGUAUCCGAGACCGACUCUGCCAGCGGACAUGCCGCCUAUAGAGCCGCAGGUAGGGGAGUUCUACAACUCGCCUGUCGCCCUGGGUUCAGGUGCCGGUGCAGUGCUAACGGUACCCAUCGCUGCGUUGGGUGCAAAACUAAACACGUGG
rnacentral:rRNA from 1 species